GGCGGGGCCGCCGCAACGGCCAUGCUCGGCUCGACUGGGCUGGGCUGGCUAGCUCAGUGAGUGCUCAGUCACGAGAGGAGAGCGCGACGGGGCGGCGCAUCGUGGCGUUGCAUGCAUGCAGAAUGCAGAUUGCAGUGUCUGCUUGGUUUUUUUUUUUUUUUUGGCUCUCCACAUCCCGAGCAGGCGAGAACGAUAACAGUGCAUUCGUGCUGUAUGCACCAUCAGUACGAGCUGUAUGCAUGCUUUUCACCGGUGAGCGACAACUAAUGGCAUUCGUGGCUAAUGGCAUUCUCGACCACGACCAUGGGUUUUGUCAGUUCAAAAGAACGGAACAAUGGACUUUGCAUUCAUUGAUUCAGCAGACGGCGAUGCUUUACUAGGGCUGUGCUAGCUUUGGUGAUGUUUGAGCAAGUCAAACAAGCCACCAGCCGGCCGGACGGGACUAACGAAAACGAAGUAGAAAGCGGGGUGUCCUCCGCAGUGGGGGGCUCGCCGAAUCUCUUUUCGGAUCACGCAAUUGUUGCCACAAUUCUACCAGUAAUCAUGGAGCUCAUGGUGUGCGGUGUGCUAGCUUGUGCAGCAUGCAUGCAGCCAGCCUUGGAGGACCGCCGCGCGUGCCUCAACCGUAUUUACGUCCAAAAUCCAAAAACUUUUCAAGAUUUUUCGUCACAUCGAAUCUUUAUACACAUGCAUAGAAUAUUAAAUAUAAACAAAAAUAAAAACUAAUUGCACCGUUUAGUCGAAAUUGACGAGACGAAUUUUUGAGACUAGUUAGUUCAUAAUUGGACAAUAAUUACCACAAACAAACGAAAGUGUUACAGUAUCGCGAAAAAUUUAGAAGUAACUAAACAAGGCCCCAUUCAUCCAUUGCAUGUUACUAGUCCGUACUCCUAGUACUAUUUCCAUCCAUUCAUCCUAAGGUUUUGUGCGCAUA
rnacentral:lncRNA from 1 species